GUAUCAUCCAUGGGAGAAGAAGGUUGGUGUGAUCAAUGGGAGAAGAAGGUUGGUAUCACCCAUGGCAUAUCUCAAGGAUAGGCAAUUAGAUGGAAAGCAUGUAGCUACCAAAACUAGAUCACUUGCGCUCCGAGGUGUUUAGUCCAGACAUGCAAUGCUUCAAGAUAUUGGAUGGAAAUAAGCUCCAUAUAAAGAGAACACAUAUAUAGUUGCAGUGAGAUAAUCGGAUCAUUUUCAGCUAGCAUGGACCAUAUGAUUUUUGACCUGCCGACCAGCCAAUUAAUUGAUAU
rnacentral:lncRNA from 1 species